AGUCAAUAGAUACCCUGGUAGUCCAUGCCGUAAACGAUGAUUGCUAGGUGUGGGGGGUCUGACCCUUCCGUGCCGGAGUUAAACACAAUAAGCAAUCCACCUGGGGAGUACGGCCGCAAGGUUGAAACUCAAAGGAAUUGACGGGGGCCCGCACAAGCAGUGGAGUAUGUGGUUUAAAUUCGAAGCAACGCGAAGAACCUUACCAGGUCUUGACAUCCACCGAAUCCUGUAGAGAUACGGGAGUGCCCUUCGGGGAACGGUGAGACAGGUGGUGCAUGGUUGUCGUCAGCUCGUGUCGUGAGAUGUUGGGUUAAGUCCCGCAACGAGCGCAACCCUUGUGAAUAGUUGCUACGAAAGAGCACUCUAUUCAGACCGCCGUUGACAAAACGGAGGAAGGUGGGGAUGACGUCAAAUCAUCAUGCCCCUUAUGACCUGGGCUACACACGUACUACAAUGGCCGUUAACAGAGGGAUGCAAUACCGCGAGUGGAGCGAACCCCUAAAAACGGUCUCAGUUCAGAUUGCAGGCUGAAACUCG
rnacentral:rRNA from 1 species